CAAGUACUCCCUCCGUCCCAAAAUAAGUGACUCAACUUUGUACUAACUUUAGUACAAAGUUAGUACAAACUUGAGUCACUUAUUUUGGGACGGAGGGAGUAUGAU
rfam:Triticum urartu cultivar G1812 contig564573, whole genome shotgun sequence.